rnacentral:rRNA from 1 species
CCGCGGUAUUUUAACCGUGCAAAGGUAGCAUAAUCAUUAGUUUUUUAAUUGAAGGCUUGUAUGAAUGAUUGGACGAGAUAUUAGCUGUUUCAUAUAAAAUUUAAUAGAAUUUUAUUUUUUAGUUAAAAAGCUAAAAUUUUUAUAAAAGACGAGAAGACCCUAUAGAUCUUAAUAAUUUGUAUAUUUUAUUUAUAUAGAAAAUUUAAAAUAUUAUAUUUAUAAUUAUUUUGUUGGGGUGACAAUAAAAUUUAAUAAACUUUUAUAUAAAUUUUACAUUAAUUAAUGAAUGAUUGAUCCAUUAUUAGUGAUUAAUAAAUUAAGUUACCUUAGGGAUAACAGCGUAAUUUUUUUAGAGAGUUCAUAUCGAUAAAAAAGAUUGCGACCUCGAUGUUGGAUUAAG